GGGGUGACGGCGUGCCUAUCGAAAAAUGAGUCUGCGAGUCAGUGGUGCGUGGCGAGUAUAAGCCGUGUGGCGUAUGCGUAGCGAAGGCGAGUCUUAAAAGGCGUUUGAGCCGCGUGUCCUGGACCCGAAGCGGGAUGAUCUAGCCCUGAGCAGGUUGAAGCGCGGGUAAGACCGUGUGGAGGACCGGACCCACCUGGGUUGAAAACCGGGGGGAUGACUUGGGGCUGGGGGUGAAAGGCCAAUCAAAUUCCGUGAUAGCUGGUUCUCUCCGAAAUGCAUUUAGGUGCAGCGUCGGGUGAUUGCAUCCGGGGGGUAGAGCUACUGGAUGCUUGCGGGCCCUUGUGGGGUACCAACAGCAACCAAACUCCGAAUACCCGUGAUGUGUAUCCCGGCAGUGACCCGGCGGGGGAUAAGCUUCGUCGUGGAGAGGGAGACAGCCCAGACCGUCGUCUAAGGUCCCCAAGCGCGUGCUAAGUGGGAAAGGAUGUGGAGUCGCAUAGACAGCCAGGAGGUUGGCUCAGAAGCAGCCAUCCUUGAAAGAGUGCGUAACAGCUCACUGGUCUAGUGGUUCCGCGCCGACAAUGUAGCGGGGCUCAAGCACGCCACCGAAGACGCGGCAGUACUUUGGUGUUGGGUAGGAGAGCGUCCCACGGGGGGCGAAGCGGCGGCGCAAGCCGGCCGUGGAUUCCGUGGGAGUGAGAAUGCAGACAUGAGUAGCGAAAGCGGGGUGAGGAUCCCCGCCGCUGGAUGACCAAGGGUUCCAGGGCCACGUUCAUCGUCCCUGGGUGAGUCGGGUCCUAAGGCGAGGCCGACAGGCGUAGUCGAAUGGAUGAACGGGUCGAUAUUCCCGUACCGGCUGGCGACCGUCCAAACCGAGGCGGCGAGUACUAACCUUCGUCCUUCCGUGAGGCGUCCUUCGGGGCGCGGACCGGGUGGGUGUCGGGACCGUAGUCGUAGUAGGUCAGCGCAGGAGUGACACGGAAGGGUGGCCGGCUCCGGAGGUGGU
rnacentral:rRNA from 1 species